rnacentral:tRNA from 1 species
UAGUAGGGUAAGCUAAAUUGCAAGCUGUUGGGCUCAUAACCCAAAAAUAGAAUCAUC